rnacentral:rRNA from 1 species
AGCAGCCGCGGUAAUUCCAGCUCCAAUAGCGUAUAUUAAAGUUGCUGCAGUUAAAAAGCUCGUAGUUGAAUUUCGGGACCAAUAUGUCGGUCGUGCCUCGGUACGUACUGGCAUCGUUGGUUUCUCCCUUCUGACGAACCAUGAUGUCAUUUAUUUGGUGUCGUGGGGAAUCAGGACUGUUACUUUGAAAAAUUAGAGUGCUUAAAGCAGGCUCACGCUUGAAUACAUUAGCAUGGAAUAAUGAAAUAGGACGUUUGAUUUUAUUUUGUUGGUUUCUAGGAUCGACGUAAUGAUUAAUAGGGAUAGUUGGGGGCAUUAGUAUUCAAUUGUCAGAGGUGAAAUUCUUGGAUUUAUUGAAGACUAACUACUGCGAAAGCAUUUGCCAAGGAUGUUUUCAUUAAUCAAGAACGAAAGUUAGGGGAGUCGAAGACGAUCAGAUACCGUCGUAGUCUUAACCAUAAACUAUGCCGACUAGGGAUCGGAUGAUGUUAAUUUUUAAUGUACUCA